UACGUAGGGGGCAAGCGUUGUUCGGAAUUACUGGGCGUAAAGGGUGCGUAGGCGGCGCAUUAAGUCAGAUGUGAAAUACCACGGCUCAACCGUGGGGGUGCAUUUGAAACUGGUGUGCUUGAGUGCAGGAGAGGAAAGUGGAAUUCCUAGUGUAGCGGUGAAAUGCGUAGAGAUUAGGAGGAACACCAGUGGCGAAGGCGGCUUUCUGGACUGUAACUGACGCUGAGGCACGAAAGCGUGGGGAGCGAACAGG
rnacentral:rRNA from 1 species